GAUGAACGCUGACAGAAUGCUUAACACAUGCAAGUCAACUUGAAUUUGGGUUUUUUCCCUUAGAUUUGGGUGGCGGACGGGUGAGUAACGCGUAAAGAACUUGCCUCACAGCUAGGGACAACAUUUGGAAACGAAUGCUAAUACCUGAUAUUAUGAUUAUAAGGCAUCUUAGAAUUAUGAAAGCUAUAUGCGCUGUGAGAGAGCUUUGCGUCCCAUUAGCUAGUUGGAGAGGUAACGGCUCACCAAGGCGAUGAUGGGUAGCCGGCCUGAGAGGGUGAACGGCCACAAGGGGACUGAGACACGGCCCUUACUCCUACGGGAGGCAGCAGGGGGGAAUAUUGGACAUGGACCAAGAGUCUGAUCCAGCAAUUCUGUGUGCACGAUGACGUUUUUCGGAAUGUAAAGUGCUUUCAGUUGGGAAGAAAAAAAUGACGGUACCAACAGAAGAAGUGACGGCUAAAUACGUG
rnacentral:rRNA from 1 species